rnacentral:rRNA from 1 species
GACGAACGCUGGCGGCAGGCCUAACACAUGCAAGUCGAGCGCACCCUUCGGGGCGAGCGGCGGACGGGUUAGUAACGCGUGGGAACAUACCCUUUUCUACGGAAUAGCCUCGGGAAACUGAGAGUAAUACCGUAUACGCCCUUCGGGGAAGAUUAUCGAGAAGGAUUGGCCGCGUUAGAUUAGAUAGUUGGUGGGGUAACGGGCCUACCAAGUCUACGAUCUAUAGCUGGUUUUAGUAGGAUGAUCAGCAACACUGGGACUGAGACACGGCCCAGACUCCUACGGGAGGCAGCAGUGGGGAAGUCUUAGACAAUGGGCGGCAAGCCUGAUCUAGCCAUGCCGCGUGUGUGAUGAAGGCCUUAGGGUCGUAAAGCACUUUCGCCAGGGAUGAUAAUGACAGUACCUGGUAAAGAAACCCCGGCUAACUCCGUGCCAGCAGCCGCGGUAA